rnacentral:snRNA from 1 species
AUACUUACCUGGUGUCGACGUGACCGUGGUCAAGAUGGCGGUGCCCCCAGGGAGAGACGCGGGCAUUGCACUGCGCUCGUGCUGACCCCUGCCACUACCCCAAACUGGGGCAGAUGGGGCAUGCAAUUUUUGGUAGUGGGGGACUGCGUUCGCGCUCUCCCCCU